rnacentral:rRNA from 1 species
CCUACGGGAGGCAGCAGUCGAGAAUCAUUCACAAUGGGGGAAACCCUGAUGGUGCGACGCCGCGUGGGGGAAUGAAGGUCUUCGGAUUGUAAACCCCUGUCAUGUGGGAGCAAAUUAAAAAGAUAGUACCCCAAGAGGAAGAGACGGCUAACUCUGUGCCAGCAGCCGCGGUAAUACAGAGGUCUCAAGCGUUGUUCGGAAUCACUGGGCGUAAAGCGUGCGUAGGCUGUUUCGUAAGUCGUGUGUGAAAGGCGCGGGCUCAACCCGCGGACGGCACAUGAUACUGCGAGACUAGAGUAAUGGAGGGGGAAGCGGAAUUCUCGGUGUAGCAGUGAAAUGCGUAGAUAUCGAGAGGAACACUCGUGGCGAAGGCGGGUUCCUGGACAUUAACUGACGCUGAGGCACGAAGGCCAGGGGAGCGAAAGGGAUUAGAUACCCGUGUAGUC